GACGAACGCUGGCGGCGUGCUUAACACAUGCAAGUCGAACGGAAAGGCCCUGCUUUUGUGGGGUGCUCGAGUGGCGAACGGGUGAGUAACACGUGAGUAACCUGCCCUUGACUUUGGGAUAACUUCAGGAAACUGGGGCUAAUACCGGAUAGGAGCUCCUGCUGCAUGGUGGGGGUUGGAAAGUUUCGGCGGUUGGGGAUGGACUCGCGGGUUAUCAGCUUGUUGGUGGGGUAGUGGCUUACCAAGGCUUUGACGGGUAGCCGGCCUGAGGGGGUGACCGGCCAAAUGGGGAAGGGGAUGCGCCCCAGACUCCUGGGGGGGGCAGCAGGGGGGAAUAUUGAAAGGGGGGCGGAAGCCUGAAGCAACAACGCCGGGGGGGGGACGACGGCCUUGGGGUUGAAAACCGUUUCCGCCGGUGACGAGGCGUGGGGGAGGGAAAUGGGGAAGAAACACCCGGCUAAUUACGG
rnacentral:rRNA from 1 species